GGCAUCAUGUGAACUUCCAGGCUACCACUGUUAUGCAGUCGCAUGGUCACCAUUUCACAAAGAACUUCUGGCUGUGGUUUCUGGAACAAACUAUGGCCUAUCAGGCAUGAUGUUAAUUUCCUGAUGUAAUGCGCACAUUAUUUGGAUGUGGCUGGCUGACCUACCUGGAACAAAUUAGAAUGCAGGCAUCUGAAUUCAAGCGCCGGCCGUCUGGACGUGCUCCGCCUCUCGGCCGGCGGCGCCCACCUGGCGCCCAGCUGGAGCGCCCCCUGGCAGGAUGUCAUUACGGACGUGACGUGGUCUGAGACGAGUCCGUCGGCGCUGGUGGUGGGCACCGGCGACCGGGCCGUGGCCGU